CUUUGUUUGAUUUCAUCAAAAAUUGAAUUAUUGGGGUUCUUUGAUAUGCCGAAUCUAACCGUGUAUUUAGAUUUUUAAUUUUGGGUCCCGUUUUUUAAAUUGGUCUACAUUAAGGUCCAAAGGGUCCAAAAUUAAACUUAGUUUGAUUUUAACAAAAAUUGAUUUUUUGGGGUUCUUUGAUAUGCUGAAUCUAAACAUGUGUUUAGAUUUUUGAUUAUGGGACCAGUUUUCAAGUUGGUCCAAGUUGGGGUCCAAAAUUAAACUUUGUUUGAUUUCAACAAAAAUUGAAUAUAUGGGGUUCUUUGAUAUGCUGAAUCUAAACAUGUAUUUAGAUUUUAGAUUUUUGGCCCAGUUUUCAAGUUGGUCCAAAUUGGGGUCCAAAAUUAAACUUUAUUUGAUUUCAACAAAAAUUGAAUAUAUGGGGUUCUUUGAUAUGCUGAAUCUUACCAUGUAUUUAGAUUUUUUAUUUGUGGGCCCGCUAUCAAAUUGGUUCAUAUUGAGGUCAAAAGGGUCCAAAAUUAAACUUUGUUUGAUUUCAUCAAAAAUUGAAUAAUUGGGGUUCUUUGAUAUGCCAAAUCUAACCGUGUUUUUAGAUUUUUAAUUUUGGGUCCCGUUUUUUAAAUUUGUCUACAUUAAGGUCCAAAGGGUCCAAAAUUAAACUUAGUUUGAUUUUAACAAAAAUUGAAUUCUUCGGGUACUUUGAUAUGCUGAAUCUAAACAUGUGUUUAGAUUUUUGAUUAUGGGACCAGUUUUCAAGUUUGUCCAAGUUGGGGUCCAAAAUUAAACUUUGUUUGAUUUCAACAAAAAUUGAAUAUAUGGGGUUCUUUGAUAUGCUGAAUCUAACCAUGUAUUUUGAUUUUGGACAUUGGACCAUAAUAGGUAAAUUAAAAAAAUUGAAGUUCUUAGACCACAUUCUUUCUGUGUCAGAAACCUAUGCUGUGUCAAAUAUUUAAUCACAAUCCAAAUUCAGAGCUGUAUCAAGCUUGAAUGUUGUGUCCAUACUUGCCCCAACUGUUCAGGGUUCGACCUCUGCGGUCGUAUCAAGCUGCGCCCAGCGAAGCAUUUUAUUUUUAUUUU